UACGAAGGGGCUAGCGUUGUUCGGAAUCACUGGGCGUAAAGCGCACGUAGGCGGAUUGUUAAGUCGGGGGUGAAAUCCUGAGGCUCAACCGUCAGAACUGCCUCCGAUACUGGCAAUCUCGAGUUCGGAAGAGGUUGGUGGAACAGCUAGUGAGAGGUGAAAUUCGUAGAUAUUAGCUAGAACACCAGUGGCGAAGGCGCCAACUGGUCCGA
rnacentral:rRNA from 1 species